rnacentral:rRNA from 1 species
AGCGUACACGGUGGAUGCCCUGGCAGUCAGAGGCGAUGAAGGACGUGCUAAUCUGCGAUAAGCGUCGGUAAGGUGAUAUGAACCGUUAUAACCGGCGAUUUCCGAAUGGGGAAACCCAGUGUGAUUCGUCACACUAUCAUUAACUGAAUCCAUAGGUUAAUGAGGCGAACCGGGGGAACUGAAACAUCUAAGUACCCCGAGGAAAAGAAAUCAACCGAGAUUCCCCCAGUAGCGGCGAGCGAACGGGGAGGAGCCCAGAGCCUGAAUCAGUGUGUGUGUUAGUGGAAGCGUCUGGAAAGGCGCGCGAUACAGGGUGACAGCCCCGUACACAAAAAUGCACAUACUGUGAGCUCGAUGAGUAGGGCGGGACACGUGGUAUCCUGUCUGAAUAUGGGGGGACCAUCCUCCAAGGCUAAAUACUCCUGACUGACCGAUAGUGAACCAGUACCGUGAGGGAAAGGCGAAAAGAACCCCGGCGAGGGGAGUGAAAAAGAACCUGAAACCGUGUACGUACAAGCAGUGGGAGCCUCUUUUAUGGGGUGACUGCGUACCUUUUGUAUAAUGGGUCAGCGACUUAUAUUCUGUAGCAAGGUUAACCGAAUAGGGGAGCCGAAGGGAAACCGAGUCUUAACUGGGCGUUAAGUUGCAGGGUAUAGACCCGAAACCCGGUGAUCUAGCCAUGGGCAGGUUGAAGGUUGGGUAACACUAACUGGAGGACCGAACCGACUAAUGUUGAAAAAUUAGCGGAUGACUUGUGGCUGGGGGUGAAAGGCCAAUCAAACCGGGAGAUAGCUGGUUCUCCCCGAAAGCUAUUUAGGUAGCGCCUCGUGAAUUCAUCUCCGGGGGUAGAGCACUGUUUCGGCAAGGGGGUCAUCCCGACUUACCAACCCGAUGCAAACUGCGAAUACCGGAGAAUGUUAUCACGGGAGACACACGGCGGGUGCUAACGUCCGUCGUGAAGAGGGAAACAACCCAGACCGCCAGCUAAGGUCCCAAAGUCAUGGUUAAGUGGGAAACGAUGUGGGAAGGCCCAGACAGCCAGGAUGUUGGCUUAGAAGCAGCCAUCAUUUAAAGAAAGCGUAAUAGCUCACUGGUCGAGUCGGCCUGCGCGGAAGAUGUAACGGGGCUAAACCAUGCACCGAAGCUGCGGCAGCGACACUAUGUGUUGUUGGGUAGGGGAGCGUUCUGUAAGCCUGUGAAGGUGUGCUGUGAGGCAUGCUGGAGGUAUCAGAAGUGCGAAUGCUGACAUAAGUAACGAUAAAGCGGGUGAAAAGCCCGCUCGCCGGAAGACCAAGGGUUCCUGUCCAACGUUAAUCGGGGCAGGGUGAGUCGACCCCUAAGGCGAGGCCGAAAGGCGUAGUCGAUGGGAAACAGGUUAAUAUUCCUGUACUUGGUGUUACUGCGAAGGGGGGACGGAGAAGGCUAUGUUGGCCGGGCGACGGUUGUCCCGGUUUAAGCGUGUAGGCUGGUUUUCCAGGCAAAUCCGGAAAAUCAAGGCUGAGGCGUGAUGACGAGGCACUACGGUGCUGAAGCAACAAAUGCCCUGCUUCCAGGAAAAGCCUCUAAGCAUCAGGUAACAUCAAAUCGUACCCCAAACCGACACAGGUGGUCAGGUAGAGAAUACCAAGGCGCUUGAGAGAACUCGGGUGAAGGAACUAGGCAAAAUGGUGCCGUAACUUCGGGAGAAGGCACGCUGAUAUGUAGGUGAAGCGACUUGCUCGUGGAGCUGAAAUCAGUCGAAGAUACCAGCUGGCUGCAACUGUUUAUUAAAAACACAGCACUGUGCAAACACGAAAGUGGACGUAUACGGUGUGACGCCUGCCCGGUGCCGGAAGGUUAAUUGAUGGGGUCAGCGCAAGCGAAGCUCUUGAUCGAAGCCCCGGUAAACGGCGGCCGUAACUAUAACGGUCCUAAGGUAGCGAAAUUCCUUGUCGGGUAAGUUCCGACCUGCACGAAUGGCGUAAUGAUGGCCAGGCUGUCUCCACCCGAGACUCAGUGAAAUUGAACUCGCUGUGAAGAUGCAGUGUACCCGCGGCAAGACGGAAAGACCCCGUGAACCUUUACUAUAGCUUGACACUGAACAUUGAGCCUUGAUGUGUAGGAUAGGUGGGAGGCUUAGAAGUGUGGACGCCAGUCUGCAUGGAGCCGACCUUGAAAUACCACCCUUUAAUGUUUGAUGUUCUAACGUUGACCCGUGAUCCGGGUUGCGGACAGUGUCUGGUGGGUAGUUUGACUGGGGCGGUCUCCUCCUAAAGAGUAACGGAGGAGCACGAAGGUUGGCUAAUCCUGGUCGGACAUCAGGAGGUUAGUGCAAUGGCAUAAGCCAGCUUGACUGCGAGCGUGACGGCGCGAGCAGGUGCGAAAGCAGGUCAUAGUGAUCCGGUGGUUCUGAAUGGAAGGGCCAUCGCUCAACGGAUAAAAGGUACUCCGGGGAUAACAGGCUGAUACCGCCCAAGAGUUCAUAUCGACGGCGGUGUUUGGCACCUCGAUGUCGGCUCAUCACAUCCUGGGGCUGAAGUAGGUCCCAAGGGUAUGGCUGUUCGCCAUUUAAAGUGGUACGCGAGCUGGGUUUAGAACGUCGUGAGACAGUUCGGUCCCUAUCUGCCGUGGGCGCUGGAGAACUGAGGGGGGCUGCUCCUAGUACGAGAGGACCGGAGUGGACGCAUCACUGGUGUUCGGGUUGUCAUGCCAAUGGCACUGCCCGGUAGCUAAAUGCGGAAGAGAUAAGUGCUGAAAGCAUCUAAGCACGAAACUUGCCCCGAGAUGAGUUCUCCCUGACUCCUUGA